CCUACGGGAGGCAGCAGUGGGGAAUAUUGGGCAAUGGGCGCAAGCCUGACCCAGCAACGCCGCGUGAAGGAAGAAGGACUUCGGGUUGUAAACUUCUAUUGUCAGGGACGAAGAAAGUGACGGUACCUGACGAAUCAGCCACGGCUAACUACGUGCCAGCCGCCGCGGUAAUACGUAGGUGGCAAGCGUUAUCCGGAUUUACUGGGUGUAAAGGGCGUGUAGGCGGGAGAGCAAGUCAGACGUGAAAUUCCAGGGCUCAACCCUGGAACUGCGUUUGAAACUGUUCUGCUUGAGUGAUGGAGAGGCAGGCGGAAUUCCGUGUGUAGCGGUGAAAUGCGUAGAUAUACGGAGGAACACCAGUGGCGAAGGCGGCCUGCUGGACAUUAACUGACGCUGAGGCGCGAAAGCGUGGGGAGCAAACAGGAUUAGAUACCCGUGUAGUC
rnacentral:rRNA from 1 species